UACGUAGGGCGCGAGCGUUGUCCGGAUUUAUUGGGCGGAAAGAGCUCGUAGGCGGCUUGUCGCGUCGUCCGUGAAAACCUGGGGCUCAACUCCAGGCCUGCGGUCGAUACGGGCAGGCUAGAGUUCGGUAGGGGAGACUGGAAUUCCUGGUGUAGCGGUGAAAUGCGCAGAUAUCAGGAGGAACACCGGUGGCGAAGGCGGGUCUCUGGGCCGAUACUGACGCUGAGGAGCGAAAGCGUGGGGAGCGAACAGG
rnacentral:rRNA from 1 species